rnacentral:rRNA from 1 species
UACGUAGGUGGCAAGCGUUGUCCGGAUUUACUGGGCGUAAAGGGAGCGUAGGCGGACUCUUAAGUGGGAUGUGAAAUACUCGGGCUCAACCUGAGUGCUGCAUUCCAAACUGGGAGUCUAGAGUGCAGGAGGGGAAAGUGGGAUUCCUAGUGUAGCGGUGAAAUGCGUAGAUAUUAGGAGGAACACCAGUUGCGAAGGCGGCUCUCUGGACUGUAACUGACACUGAGGCACGAAAGCGUGGGGAGCAAACAGGAUUAGAUACCCGUGUA